rnacentral:rRNA from 1 species
GAUGAACGCUGGCGGCGUGCCUAAUACAUGCAAGUCGAGCGAACGGACGAGAAGCUUGCUUCUCUGAUGUUAGCGGCGGACGGGUGAGUAACACGUGGAUAACCUACCUAUAAGACUGGGAUAACUUCGGGAAACCGUAGCUAAUACCGGAUAAUAUUUUGAACCGCAUGGUUCAAAAGUGAAAGACGGUCUUGCUGUCACUUAUAGAUGGAUCCGCGCUGCAUUAGCUAGUUGGUAAGGUAACGGCUUACCAAGGCAACGAUGCAUAGCCGACCUGAGAGGGUGAUCGGCCACACUGGAACUGAGACACGGUCCAGACUCCUACGGGAGGCAGCAGUAGGGAAUCUUCCGCAACGGGCGAAAGCCUGACGGAGCAACGCCGCGUGAGUGAUGAAGGUCUUCGGAUCGUAAAACUCUGUUAUUAGGGAAGAACAUAUGUGUAAGUAACUGUGCACAUCUUGACGGUACCUAAUCAGAAAGCCGCGGCUAACUACGUG